rfam:Tateyamaria sp. ANG-S1 contig_9, whole genome shotgun sequence.
ACACGGAUCCGGGCCCCUCUGGCAACCUUGGGCAGCAGGUUGCGAUGUCGGAACCUUCAU